rnacentral:rRNA from 1 species
GAUGAACGCUGGCGGCGUGCCUAAUACAUGCAAGUCGAGCGAAUGGAUUAAGAGCUUGCUCUUAUGAAGUCAGCGGCGGACGGGUGAGUAACACGUGGGUAACCUGCCCAUAAGACUGGGAUAACUCCGGGAAACCGGGGCUAAUACCGGAUAACAUUUUGAACCGCAUGGUUCGAAAUUGAAAGGCGGCUUCGGCUGUCACAUAUGGAUGGACCCGCGUCGAAUUAGCUAGUUGGUGAGGUAACGGCUCACCAAGUCAACGAUGCGUAGCCGACCUGGGAGGGAGAGCGGCGACACUGGGACUGAGACACGGCCAAGACUCCUACGGGAGGCAGCAGUAGGGAAUCUUCCGAAAUGGACGAAAGUCUGACGGAGCAACGCCGCGUGAGUGAUGAAGGCUUUCGGGUCGUAAAACUCUGUUGUUAAGGGAGAACAAGUGCUAGUUGAAUAAGCUGGCACCUUGACGGUGCCUAACCAGAAAGCCACGGCUAACUACGUGCCAGCCGCCGCGGUAA